GUCCCAGAUGGGACAACAGGCGAAGAAAAGAUGAACCUACUUGAUUUGAUAAACAUUUUUAUGUUUUUCAGUUUCACCUGAAGACGUUUCCCACCAACCAUCCUGUCUUGAAAGAAAUUACUUUUGAACCCGAUUUUCUGGUUUUUGCCACGAAUUGUUGAGAGACCUUCAGGAGAUGGAUGUUCAGCAGCUGUAUGUUCAUCUAGGCUCCAACUACUUUCUCGGUAAUGAAUUGGUG